GACGAACGCUGGCGGCGUGCUUAACACAUGCAAGUCGAACGGUAAGGCCCUUCGGGGUACACGAGUGGCGAACGGGUGAGUAACACGUGGGUGAUCUGCCCUGCACUUCGGGAUAAGCCUGGGAAACUGGGUCUAAUACCGGAUAGGACCACUGCCUGCAUGGGCGGUGGUGGAAAGCUUUUGCGGUGUGGGAUGGGCCCGCGGCCUAUCAGCUUGUUGGUGGGGUGAUGGCCUACCAAGGCGACGACGGGUAGCCGGCCUGAGAGGGUGACCGGCCACACUGGGACUGAGAUACGGCCCAGACUCCUACGGGGGGCAGCAGUGGGGAAUAUUGCACAAUGGGCGCAAGCCUGAUGCAGCGACGCCGCGUGAGGGAUGACGGCCUUCGGGUUGUAAACCUCUUUCAGCACCGACGAAGCGCAAGUGACGGUAGGUGCAGAAGAAGGACCGGCCAACUACGUGCCAGCCGCCGCGGUAA
rnacentral:rRNA from 1 species